AUCUAGUUUCAAAAUUUCAUAAAUAAAAAAAAUAAAAAUGCUAAGCACACCUACUAUUUUUCAAACAAAGUUCCAUCGUUUUUCACAUCUAGCAGCCGACAUGACAGCCGACUCGCAAUCGGACAAGUUUAUUGUGGAAGGGGACAAAGCUUAUGAUGGCAGUGUCCCCACGGACAAUGUAACAGGUAAUCCCCUUUAAAAACUUAUAUUAAGUAGAAUGUUGUUAAUUCUUACUAAUACGCUUCCAUUUUAAUAUAUGAAUGAAUGUUCUUUGAUGGGGGAACAAAUAUUAAGAUUAUAGAAUUUCUUGCUCUCCCCCAUCUGUAAUAUUGAAUUCGCCCAAGUGUUUACCUUGCUGUCGCCUUCUGUCGUAAAUCAUGACAAUCAACACAUUCCAGACUUCCUGUGUUCAUUCACAUUCCUAAAAUUUCCUUCACAACACCACUGCCAUCGAAAUGUUAUAUUAGGAACAUUUUCUGUUUACAUUUUAUCCUAAUUAGACCCAAUUUCCAUCACAGCGGUGCAGACAGUUCAGUCGCUGACCGAGUGGGCUUGGUCCGCUGUGGGGGUGUCAAGGGAGAAAGUGCAGGACUUGCUGACACGCCCUGACUUAACGGAUGACUGGUCACUGGAGGAGAUCAGCCAACCUGUCUUCCGCUCCUUGGGAUUCUGGAUGCUGGUUUGCCAGUGACCCAAUCCUGACCCAAUGUCUUUCGUUGUUGGAGCCCUCCCUGCAUUCAUACCGGUAACUCAAGGGAUGAGUCUACUGUGUGUUCAGUUUAGAUAUCAGCUAAAAUUAUCUAAAUUGGAAACAUGGUAUGCUCUUCUCUUACAACAAGUAACUGUUGUCGAAUAACAUUUCCCUCAUCCUUUUUACGGACCCAAGCUUGAAUAUUUAUUUGGCAAGAUUAAUCAUAUAUCCUCCAUGCUAGAUUUAUAAAGAUUGAUAAAGACAAUGCCUCAUGUGAACUAAUUCCAUGAUGUGCGAAGCACUCAAGCUCAUGUGAGGCACUGCCUUCAUCAGCUGACUAACGUCAACAAAAACAACUUAUUUUCUGAUAUAAUGUUUUUUGGUUGUGGGGUAUAUGCCUCAAAACUUAAGGAAUUAAGUUCCUUAUCAGACAUCAAACUUGUGAACUGGUUCCCCAUGUCCUGAAUGAAAUAUAAGCAAGGGUUGAUUUUAGCUUGUUGACUACUAUUUGUAUUAAUAAGCACUCUUGGACAUCACUUUGCACAUGUGAUUAUUUAUGUUACAAUCAUGAAUACAUUCUAUGUGUUGGUGUAAACUGUUUAGUCAUUGCUCUGCUUUUGUAGCUAUAUCAAUGAAUUAUAUAUCUCUAGUGAUUCAAUACUGAACAACAGCGUUAAAAAUGUGAAAACUGUGAUGAGAGAGUAUG